UAAAACUUUAAGUAUACUACGGUUUUUAAAUAUUUUUUUGCAUAAACGUCAAACUAGAGGAUCCUGGGAAACGGCGGUGGUACAAAACGUGGUGCUCGGCCGCCAUCUCUGCCAUUUCGCAGAGGAAUCUGCAUGAGGAACGGAGUGCCGCCUGAGCACGUGUCUGACAACAUGGCUUCCACUUCCUUCCCUGUUGGGUAUCUGCUGGAAUCGGGAUGAUUCCCAGAUGUGCCGAACUCAUCAGCGAGAUGCUAACACAGGUCUGCUUCUAGCAUCAAACCACUAAGGGCUGCUCCUGUUGGCGUUUCAUGGAUCUGCCAUCUGGCUGGAAUAGGACCAGCCGUUGCAGGUUCAUCUGAAAUAGUGGAAAAGAUCCCGACACUCAAGACUCGUACUGUAAACCGAGAGUGAACCUGUGAUGUUUCACUCGAAAGGGCCUUCGGUGGGAGUGAGGUUUACUGAUGGCAGCGCUGAGUGUGACUGCUCCCUUUGUGAAGGAUUCAAUAUUGUUAAACUGUGGUUUUCCCCCCCAUGUGGGUGUGCACGCCAUAUGUAAUACACUUUUUUUUUUUUUUUUUUGCGGGGGGUCCACACAGUCUUACUUACGGCAUUGUUCUUGAUGUGUUUGGGCUGAGAUGGGUAAUUUAACACACGACUAUAGUUAUCUUCAUGACUUUUAGCAUUACUUAACUAUUGACUGGUAAUUAAUCUGCUGUACUCUCAGACCGUGUUCACGCCUGGCGUUACCAUGCAUCUCGACUGACCUCUUGUAAUCACAUCUCACUUUGCAGCAACUUUAAAUAAGCUCGUAAAUCACUUCCAUAUGCAGAAUCUUCCAAACGUUAAGAAAUCACAAACUGUUGGUGCAUUCUAGAGUAGACAAGCUGUCAAAUGUUUUUAUGGAAUGCCAUACUAAAAAUGAAAUCUGAAAAUAAAUGACAUUUCAAUGUGUCCUUUUAUUUUGAA